rnacentral:rRNA from 1 species
GAGACUCUGUGCGCGUGCAUAUCAAUAAGCGGAGGAAAAGAAACUAACAAGGAUUCCCCUAGUAACGGCGAGUGAAGCGGGAAGAGCUCAAAUUUGAAAUCUCAGAGGGUUUCCCUUUACGAAUUGUAGUUUAAAGAAGUGUUUUCUGUUGGAGUUUCGGUAAAAGUUCUUUGGAAUAGGACAUCAUAGAGGGUGAGAAUCCCGUAUUUGACCGUUACUUUCCAGCUGUGUGAUACACUUUCAAAGAGUCGGAUUGUUUGGGAAUGCAGUCCAAAAUGGGUGGUAAAUUUCAUCUAAAGCUAAAUAUUGGCGAGAGACCGAUAGCGAACAAGUACCGUGAGGGAAAGAUGAAAAGAACUUUGAAAAGAGAGUUAAACAGUACGUGAAAUUGUCAAAAGGGAAGCGUUUGACACCAGUGUUGUUCUUCCGAAAAUCAAUUACGAAUGUUUUGUUUUUGAGGAGUUAUGACUUCAUCGGCUUGCUCCUUUCUUUACGAAACUUUCUUAAUGCACUUUUCGGUUAACAAGUCAACAUCAAUUUCUUUUGUUGUAAAAGGGUAUGAGGAAGGUGGCUUUCUUUUCGGAGAAAGUGUUUAUAGCCUUGUGCCUCUACAAUCGGAGAGAUUGAGGUCUGCAGCGUAGAUCCUUCGGGGUUAGAUACGUUUGUGCUAAGUUAUAGCUUUUCAUAGACAACUUGUUGACUAUGUUUAGUCUUGUAGCUUACUCGCUUAUGCUAUUUUACCUACGCUUAGGAUGUUGACAGCAGUAUAGACUGU